CCUACGGGAGGCAGCAGUGAGGAAUAUUCCACAAUGGGGGAAACCCUGAUGGAGCGAUGCCGCGUGCAGGAAGACGCUUUUCGGAGUGUAAACUGCUUUUAACAAGGAAGAUUAUGACGGUACUUGUAGAAUAAGGACCGGCUAACUACGUGCCAGCAGCCGCGGUAAUACGUAGGGUCCAAGCGUUAUUCGGAAUUACUGGGCGUAAAGCGUUCGUAGGCGGUUUGAUAAGUUGGAUGUGAAAUCCUGUGGCUCAACCACAUGGACUGUGUCCAAAACUAUCUGACUAGAGCAUAGUAGAGGCCAGUGGAAUUUGCGGUGUAGGAGUGACAUCCGUAGAUAUCGCAAGGAACACCAAUGGCGAAGGCAGCUUGCUGGGCUAUUGCUGACGCUCAGGAACGAAAGCGUGGGGAGCGAACGGGAUUAGAUACCCGGUAGUCCACGCCGUAAACGAUGAUCACUAGCAGUAUGGAGAUUCGACCCUCUGUGUUGCACAGCUAACGCGUUAAGUGAUCCGCCUGGGGAGUACGGGCGCAAGCUUAAAACUCAAAUGAAUUGACGG
rnacentral:rRNA from 1 species